rnacentral:lncRNA from 1 species
GUGAUUUUUUAACAAGAUUCAAUAAUCUGUAUUCAUCAUUGGGACAGGUAGAUAAAGUAGGUCCUUUUGUGAUCUUGUAUGUUUAUAUGGAUUUUGCCAGCAGUAAAGCAUAGAGUUCCGAACUAUAAUUGAUCUUUGGCUUCUUGAGUGCAUGGAUUCUGACAACACAUUGCAUAUAGACACCAAGUGUAGAUUGGUUCUCAUAGUGAUUCUGACAGUGCAUGUACUUUGAUUAUUCUAUACAUGGUGAUGUGGUUCCAAGUAUUGUUGAUCUUGGCUUCUAAUGUUGUUCUCAAGUUUUAGCAUUUUACAUAUAGUUCCCAAUUGCAAGACAAGAUGAUACUGGUUCCUGGAGUAAAUUCUGCCAGACUCAGUACUUUGCCAUUAAUUUCCAA